rnacentral:rRNA from 1 species
CCUACGGGAGGCAGCAGUGAGGAAUAUUGGUCAAUGGGCGUAAGCCUGAACCAGCCAAGUCGCGUGAGGGAUGAAGGUUCUAUGGAUCGUAAACCUCUUUUAUCAGGGAAUAAAGUGUGGGACGUGUCCUAUUUUGUAUGUACCUUAUGAAUAAGGAUCGGCUAACUCCGUUCCAGCAGCCGCGGUAAUUCGGAGGAUCCGAGCGUUAUCCGGAUUUCUUGGGGUUAAAUGGGGCGUAGGCGGGCGUUUAAGUGAGCGGGUAAAGGCUGUGGCUCAACCCUAGAAGUGCCGGUUAAAAUGGGGGGCUUGAGUAUGUUAGAGGUAGGCGGAAUGCGUGGUGUAGCGGGGAAAUGCUUAGAUAUCACGCAGAACCCCGAGUGCGAAGGCAGCCGGCCAAGCCACGACUGACGCUGAUGCACGAAAGCGUGGGGAUCAAACAGGAUUAGAUACCCUGGUAGUC